UACGUCUCAGUUCGGAUUGGAGUCUGCAACUCGACUCCAUGAAGCUGGAUUCGCUAGUAAUCGCGCAUCAGCCAUGGCGCGGUGAAUACGUUCCCGGGCCUUGUACACACCGCCCGUCAAGCCAUGGAAGCCGGGGGUGCCUGAAGUGCGUGACCGCAAGGAGCGCCCUAAGGUAAAACCGGUGACUGGGGCUAAGUCGUAACAAGGUACC
rnacentral:rRNA from 1 species